UAGGGAAUCUUCGGCAAUGGACGAAAGUCUGACCGAGCAACGCCGCGUGAGUGAAGAAGGUUUUCGGAUCGUAAAACUCUGUUGUUAGAGAAGAACAAGGACGUUAGUAACUGAACGUCCCCUGACGGUAUCUAACCAGAAAGCCACGGCUAACUACGUGCCAGCAGCCGCGGUAAUACGUAGGUGGCAAGCGUUGUCCGGAUUUAUUGGGCGUAAAGCGAGGGCAGGCGGUUUCUUAAGUCUGAUGUGAAAGCCCCCGGCUCAACCGGGGAGGGUCAUUGGAAACUGGGAGACUUGAGUGCAGAAGAGGAGAGUGGAAUUCCAUGGGUAGCGGUGAAAUGCGUAGAUAUAUGGAGGAACACCAGUGGCGAAGGCGGCUCUCUGGUCUGUAACUGACGCUGAGGCUCGAAAGCGUGGGGAGCAAACAGG
rnacentral:rRNA from 1 species